rnacentral:lncRNA from 1 species
UAUUAAUAGACUGCAAUGCCAAGAACUGUGAUCUUUGCCCUGGAUGGCAAGAGACUUCUGAGCAGAAUGACAGAGACCCAUGGGAGCUGUCCCUCCUGCUUCCCUUGAUGCCUGCAUGUCACGGAUCAGUUCGCCAGGCCUAUGCAAGCAUCUUUGGACAGCAGCUACCAAACUGAGAUGGGCCACAAACUAUAGUCAUGAAAAAUAUAAUUCUGAACCAACUGCCUGGAUUUGAAUUUCAAUGUGGCCUUUGGCAGCAGCUGCCUGUGUAGAGAUCAGCGAAGCAGACAAGCUUGAAUUAUGUGGGGGAGAAAGACAAUGAAAAGACAAGAAAGCAAAUGGAAGAUUUUGAAUAGUGGUUUCAUCACCCAUAGAGAAAUACUUCCAUCAAGAUUUAGAAAACUUAGAAGUUCCCCAAGAAUGCUUGGCAGAUUGAUUUCAUAUUUAUUGAAAGAUACACUGUGCACAAACUGUACAGAAACUAAUAAGGUGGUAUAGUGACUGCUCUCCAGCAGCUUAUAGUGAUGAAAAAUAAAGCUACACUCCUGGCUUCCAGCUUGCCUGACGCCCUUUCUGCCACUUCCUGGGAAGUAUAACAAUAUUUACUAGAAGCAAAAGUAAUAUGAGAAAUUGCUCUUUUUAGAAUUGUUUUCAAAGCCAAUCUUGUAUUCACAUCUCAAUAUAAAGAGGAGAGAUAGGAAGAAGCUCAAUAUUUAUUGAGUAGCUUCUAAUGCCUAGCACUGUGCUCAAGUUUUCCCAUUUUACUUGUUAAUUGUUACAGCAAACUAACAUGGUAGAUAUUGUAGGAGAGAAAAAGUAAUUGUCUCUUUAUUUGUAAUAAUCCUUAAAUGGGACACCCUAUAUCAAAAGAUAGAUUAAAAAGAGAAAAACAAACAGAAGUUUAUUAACGUGAAUGUCUCAUGCAUUCAUACAGGAGACAGAAAUGAAAAGGUCUGUAGAGAGUUGAGCUCAAAGAAAGAGUUUAAUCUUUAGGCUUAAGUACUGUCAUUUUCUGCAAUAAAGAAAGGUAGGUGCAGGCAAAGUCCAGGUUAAGUAACAGAAGAUGGCCAGGAAAAGCACAUUAAGCAAAGGUAAAGUUUGUUAGCAGAUGUGAGUUGAUAUGUCUUCAUUCAUGAGUCUCUAUGGAUUAUUGUCCUUUUGUGGGACAGGGGAGAGACCCUUACAAAUAGAGAUUUCCUUUAUAAUUUAUAAAGAAAUUAUAAAUUUCUCUUACAAAUGACAAUUUUUUAGAGCUCCUCCCGUGUCUUCGGUUUCUCCAAAUAACCAGCUCAAAAUAAUCAAUUUGCCAAAGAAGCAUAUUUUGGGGUGGUAAUUUUGAUCUUCUUCAGUCAUAUUUUGGAGUUUCAUGUCCUGAGAUCCAUCCAUAUCAUUAUCCCUAUUUGAGUUAUGGGGAAGUUGAGGUAAUACCUAGAAAGUUGGGACAAUAGGAUCUUAAAAAUGGAAAAUGAUGCCACUUCCGUAUCAUAACAUAGGAAGAUAGAAUAACUCUAAAUGUAAAUGAACUUUAAAAGAGGUCCAAAAACAAGAAACAUUUAAGAAAUGUAAAAGAAUUUUACAAUGAAACAAUUUCAGUUGAAGAUUUCAAUACUAUUCUCAUUACUUGAUACAAAUACUAAACAAAAUUUAACACUAUAAGCCACUUCAACUGUAAAUGGGUUAUUGUGGUGUAGACUUGAAUAAAAUGCUUGGAGAAGUGGUUUGGCACAGUUCUGGGUGUGUCUAGGCAGAUGACUGCCUUACUGAAGAGGGAAGACCCACCCUGAAUGUGGGUGGCACCAGCCAAUAGGCUUGUAGUCUAGAUGGAAUAAAAUGAGGGGGAAGAAGAAAGUCUCCAUUUCUGUUGCUUAG